CCUACGGGAGGCAGCAGUGGGGAAUCUUGCGCAAUGGGCGAAAGCCUGACGCAGCCAUGCCGCGUGAAUGAUGAAGGUCUUAGGAUUGUAAAAUUCUUUCACCGGGGACGAUAAUGACGGUACCCGGAGAAGAAGCCCCGGCUAACUUCGUGCCAGCAGCCGCGGUAAUACGAAGGGGGCUAGCGUUGCUCGGAAUUACUGGGCGUAAAGGGAGCGUAGGCGGAUAGUUUAGUCAGAGGUGAAAGCCCAGGGCUCAACCUUGGAAUUGCCUUUGAUACUGGCUAUCUUGAGUAUGGGAGAGGUUAGCGGAACUCCGAGUGUAGAGGUGAAAUUCGUAGAUAUUCGGAAGAACACCAGUGGCGAAGGCGGCUAACUGGCCCAUUACUGACGCUGAGGCUCGAAAGCGUGGGGAGCAAACAGGAUUAGAUACCCUGGUAGUCCACGCCGUAAACGAUGAGUGCUAGUCGUCGGCAUGCAUGCAUGUCGGUGACGCAGCUAACGCAUUAAGCACUCCGCCUGGGGGAGGUACGGUCGCGAGAAGUUAAACGUUAAAUUAGUAAGUUAGUUACGGUCGUUGAGACGUUGCCGACGGACGACGACCGAGGGGAGGUUAGG
rnacentral:rRNA from 1 species